rnacentral:rRNA from 1 species
AAUCAACGCUGGCGGCGUGCCUAACACAUGCAAGUCGAACGGUAACAGGUCUUCGGAUGCUGACGAGUGGCGAACGGGUGAGUAAUACAUCGGAACGUGCCCGAUCGUGGGGGAUAACGGAGCGAAAGCUUUGCUAAUACCGCAUACGAUCUACGGAUGAAAGCAGGGGACCGCAAGGCCUUGCGCGGACGGAGCGGCCGAUGGCAGAUUAGGUAGUUGGUGGGAUAAAAGCUUACCAAGCCGACGAUCUGUAGCUGGUCUGAGAGGACGACCAGCCACACUGGGACUGAGACACGGCCCAGACUCCUACGGGAGGCAGCAGUGGGGAAUUUUGGACAAUGGGCGCAAGCCUGAUCCAGCCAUGCCGCGUGCAGGAUGAAGGCCUUCGGGUUGUAAACUGCUUUUGUACGGAACGAAACGGCUCUUUCUAAUAAAGAGGGCUAAUGACGGUACCGUAAGAAUAAGCACCGGCUAACUACGUGCCAGCCGCCGCCGUAACAC